rnacentral:rRNA from 1 species
GAGCUAAUCCCUUAAAGCCAUUCUCAGUUCGGAUUGUAGGCUGAAACUCGCCUACAUGAAGCUGGAGUUACUAGUAAUCGCAGAUCAGAAUGCUGCGGUGAAUGCGUUCCCGGGUCUUGUACACACCGCCCGUCACACCACGGAAGUUGGGGGCGCCCGAAGCCACUUAGCUAACCCUUUUGGGAAGCGAGUGUCGAAGGUGAAAUCAAUAACUGGGGUGAAGUCGUAACAAGGUAGC